UUAAGCGACUAAGCGUACACGGUGGAUGCCCUGGCAGUCAGAGGCGAUGAAGGACGUGCUAAUCUGCGAAAAGCGUCGGUAAGGUGAUAUGAACCGUUAUAACCGGCGAUGUCCGAAUGGGGAAACCCAGUGUGAUUCGUCACACUAUCGUUAACUGAAUACAUAGGUUAACGAGGCGAACCGGGGGAACUGAAACAUCUAAGUACCCCGAGGAAAAGAAAUCAACCGAGAUUCCCCCAGUAGCGGCGAGCGAACGGGGAGCAGCCCAGAGUCUGAAUCAGCUUGUGUGUUAGUGGAACGGUCUGGAAAGUCCGACGGUACAGGGUGAUAGUCCCGUACACCAAAAUGCACAGGUUGUGAACUCGAAGAGUAGGGCGGGACACGUGGUAUCCUGUCUGAAUAUGGGGGGACCAUCCUCCAAGGCUAAAUACUCCUGACUGACCGAUAGUGAACCAGUACCGUGAGGGAAAGGCGAAAAGAACCCCGGCGAGGGGAGUGAAAAAGAACCUGAAACCGUGUACGUACAAGCAGUGGGAGCACCUUCGGGUGUGACUGCGUACCUUUUGUAUAAUGGGUCAGCGACUUAUAUUCUGUAGCAAGGUUAACCGUAUAGGGGAGCCGCAGGGAAACCGAGUCUUAACUGGGCGUUAAGUUGCAGGGUAUAGACCCGAAACCCGGUGAUCUAGCCAUGGGCAGGUUGAAGGUUGGGUAACACUAACUGGAGGACCGAACCGACUAAUGUUGAAAAAUUAGCGGAUGACUUGUGGCUGGGGGUGAAAGGCCAAUCAAACCGGGAGAUAGCUGGUUCUCCCCGAAAGCUAUUUAGGUAGCGCCUCGUGAACUCAUCUUCGGGGGUAGAGCACUGUUUCGGCUAGGGGGUCAUCCCGACUUACCAACCCGAUGCAAACUACGAAUACCGAAGAAUGUUAUCACGGGAGACACACGGCGGGUGCUAACGUCCGUCGUGAAGAGGGAAACAACCCAGACCGCCAGCUAAGGUCCCAAAGUCAUGGUUAAGUGGGAAACGAUGUGGGAAGGCACAGACAGCCAGGAUGUUGGCUUAGAAGCAGCCAUCAUUUAAAGAAAGCGUAAUAGCUCACUGGUCGAGUCGGCCUGCGCGGAAGAUGUAACGGGGCUAAACCAUGCACCGAAGCUGCGGCAGCGACACUAUGUGUUGUUGGGUAGGGGAGCGUUCUGUAAGCCUGCGAAGGUGACCUGUGAGGGUUGCUGGAGGUAUCAGAAGUGCGAAUGCUGACAUAAGUAACGAUAAAGCGGGUGAAAAGCCCGCUCGCCGGAAGACCAAGGGUUCCUGUCCAACGUUAAUCGGGGCAGGGUGAGUCGACCCCUAAGGCGAGGCCGAAAGGCGUAGUCGAUGGGAAACAGGUUAAUAUUCCUGUACUUGGUGUUACUGCGAAGGGGGGACGGAGAAGGCUAUGUUAGCCGGGCGACGGUUGUCCCGGUUUAAGCAUGUAGGCUGAUUGUCCAGGCAAAUCCGGAUAAUCAAGGCUGAGGUGUGAUGACGAGGCACUACGGUGCUGAAGUAACAAAUGCCCUGCUUCCAGGAAAAGCCUCUAAGCAUCAGGUAACAUCAAAUCGUACCCCAAACCGACACAGGUGGUCAGGUAGAGAAUACCAAGGCGCUUGAGAGAACUCGGGUGAAGGAACUAGGCAAAAUGGUGCCGUAACUUCGGGAGAAGGCACGCUGGUGUGUAGGUGAAGUCCCUGCGGAUGGAGCUGAGACCAGUCGAAGAUACCAGCUGGCUGCAACUGUUUAUUAAAAACACAGCACUGUGCAAACACGAAAGUGGACGUAUACGGUGUGACGCCUGCCCGGUGCCGGAAGGUUAAUUGAUGGGGUUAUCCGUAAGGAGAAGCUCUUGAUCGAAGCCCCGGUAAACGGCGGCCGUAACUAUAACGGUCCUAAGGUAGCGAAAUUCCUUGUCGGGUAAGUUCCGACCUGCACGAAUGGCGUAAUGAUGGCCAGGCUGUCUCCACCCGAGACUCAGUGAAAUUGAACUCGCUGUGAAGAUGCAGUGUACCCGCGGCAAGACGGAAAGACCCCGUGAACCUUUACUAUAGCUUGACACUGAACAUUGAGCCUUGAUGUGUAGGAUAGGUGGGAGGCUUUGAAGCGUGGACGCCAGUCUGCGUGGAGCCAACCUUGAAAUACCACCCUUUAAUGUUUGAUGUUCUAACGUUGGCCCCUUACCGGGGUUGCGGACAGUGUCUGGUGGGUAGUUUGACUGGGGCGGUCUCCUCCCAAAGCGUAACGGAGGAGCACGAAGGUUAGCUAAUCCUGGUCGGACAUCAGGAGGUUAGUGCAAUGGCAUAAGCUAGCUUGACUGCGAGCGUGACGGCGCGAGCAGGUGCGAAAGCAGGUCAUAGUGAUCCGGUGGUUCUGAAUGGAAGGGCCAUCGCUCAACGGAUAAAAGGUACUCCGGGGAUAACAGGCUGAUACCGCCCAAGAGUUCAUAUCGACGGCGGUGUUUGGCACCUCGAUGUCGGCUCAUCACAUCCUGGGGCUGAAGUAGGUCCCAAGGGUAUGGCUGUUCGCCAUUUAAAGUGGUACGCGAGCUGGGUUUAGAACGUCGUGAGACAGUUCGGUCCCUAUCUGCCGUGGACGCUGGAGAAUUGAGGGGGGCUGCUCCUAGUACGAGAGGACCGGAGUGGACGCAUCACUGGUGUUCGGGUUGUCAUGCCAAUGGCACUGCCCGGUAGCUAAAUGCGGAAGAGAUAAGUGCUGAAAGCAUCUAAGCACGAAACUUGCCCCGAGAUGAGUUCUCCCUGAGACUUUAAGUCUCCUGAAGGAACGUUAAAGACGAUGACGUUGAUAGGCCGGGUGUGUAAGCGCAGCGAUGCGUUGAGCUAACCGGUACUAAUGAACCGUGAGGCUUAACCUU
rnacentral:rRNA from 1 species